CGGAGAAGGCUAUGUUGGCCGGGCGACGGUUGUCCCGGUUUAAGCGUGUAGGCUGGUUUUCCAGGCAAAUCCGGAAAACUAAGGCUGAGGCGUGAUGACGAGGCACUACGGUGCUGAAGCAACAAAUGCCCUGCUUCCAGGAAAAGCCUCUAAGCAUCAGGUAACAUCAAAUCGUACCCCAAACCGACACAGGUGGUCAGGUAGAGAAUACCAAGGCGCUUGAGAGAACUCGGGUGAAGGAACUAGGCAAAAUGGUGCCGUAACUUCGGGAGAAGGCACGCUGAUAUGUAGGUGAAGUCCCUCGCGGAUGGAGCUGAAAUCAGUCGAAGAUACCAGCUGGCUGCAACUGUUUAUUAAAAACACAGCACUGUGCAAACACGAAAGUGGACGUAUACGGUGUGACGCCUGCCCGGUGCCGGAAGGUUAAUUGAUGGGGUCAGCGCAAGCGAAGCUCUUGAUCGAAGCCCCGGUAAACGGCGGCCGUAACUAUAACGGUCCUAAGGUAGCGAAAUUCCUUGUCGGGUAAGUUCCGACCUGCACGAAUGGCGUAAUGAUGGCCAGGCUGUCUCCACCCGAGACUCAGUGAAAUUGAACUCGCUGUGAAGAUGCAGUGUACCCGCGGCAAGACGGAAAGACCCCGUGAACCUUUACUAUAGCUUGACACUGAACAUUGAGCCUUGAUGUGUAGGAUAGGUGGGAGGCUUUGAAGUGUGGACGCCAGUCUGCAUGGAGCCGACCUUGAAAUACCACCCUUUAAUGUUUGAUGUUCUAACGUUGACCCGUAAUCCGGGUUGCGGACAGUGUCUGGUGGGUAGUUUGACUGGGGCGGUCUCCUCCUAAAGAGUAACGGAGGAGCACGAAGGUUGGCUAAUCCUGGUCGGACAUCAGGAGGUUAGUGCAAUGGCAUAAGCCAGCUUGACUGCGAGCGUGACGGCGCGAGCAGGUGCGAAAGCAGGUCAUAGUGAUCCGGUGGUUCUGAAUGGAAGGGCCAUCGCUCAACGGAUAAAAGGUACUCCGGGGAUAACAGGCUGAUACCGCCCAAGAGUUCAUAUCGACGGCGGUGUUUGGCACCUCGAUGUCGGCUCAUCACAUCCUGGGGCUGAAGUAGGUCCCAAGGGUAUGGCUGUUCGCCAUUUAAAGUGGUACGCGAGCUGGGUUUAGAACGUCGUGAGACAGUUCGGUCCCUAUCUGCCGUGGGCGCUGGAGAACUGAGGGGGGCUGCUCCUAGUACGAGAGGACCGGAGUGGACGCAUCACUGGUGUUCGGGUUGUCAUGCCAAUGGCACUGCCCGGUAGCUAAAUGCGGAAGAGAUAAGUGCUGAAAGCAUCUAAGCACGAAACUUGCCCCGAGAUGAGUUCUCCCUGACUCCUUGAGAGUCCUGAAGGAACGUUGAAG
rnacentral:rRNA from 1 species